rnacentral:rRNA from 1 species
AUACGUAGGGGGCGAGCGUUGUCCGGAAUGAUUGGGCGUAAAGGGCGCGUAGGCGGAUUUUUAAGUCCGGUGUGAAAGGCGGGGGCUCAACCCCCGAGUGGCAUUGGAAACUGGAGAUCUUGAGGACAGGAGAGGGAAGUGGAAUUCCACGUGUAGCGGUGAAAUGCGUAGAGAUGUGGAGGAACACCAGUGGCGAAGGCGACUUUCUGGACUGUAACUGACGCUGAGGCGCGAAAGCGUGGGGAGCAAACAGGAUUAGAUACCCUGGUAGUCCACGCCGUAAACGAUGAGUGCUAGGUGUAGAGGGUAUCGACCCCCUCUGUGCCGGAGUCAACACAAUAAGCACUCCGCCUGGGGAGUACGGCCGCAAGGUUGAA